rnacentral:rRNA from 1 species
AUGAACGCCUCCUCGGCGCCGGGGCCGGAUGGACUGCCAGUCUCCUUUUUUAAAGCAUUCUGGCAGACCAUCAAACCUGAGAUCAUGGCUCUCUUUGACGAGUUUUUCUUAGGGACCAUGGAUCUUGGACGCCUGAACUAUGGGGUAGUCACUCUUAUCCCCAAAGUUCCGGGUGCGACGGACAUCCGCCAAUUCCGACCCAUCACUGUGAUCAAUGUGAUUUUUCGGAUCCUGGCCAAAGGGUACGCCAAUAGGGUGACCCGGCUCGCCGACUCGAUCACCCACCCCAAUCAGUCGGCUUUCAUUCAGGGCCGUUUUAUCCUGGAUGGGGUGUUGGUCUUCCACGAGGUCCUUCACGAAGUCCACUCCAAGCACCAACGGGCGGUAUUCCUGAAGCUUGAUUUCCAUAAAGCCUAUGACACUGUGCACUGGCCCUUCCUUCGGGAAGUUUUACUCCGUAAGGGCUUUGAUGACCGUUGGGUGACCAGAGUUAUGUAG